UACAGAGGGUGCUAGCGUUGUUCGGAAUCAUUGGGCGUAAAGGGCGCGUAGGCGGCCAGCACAAGUCAGUUGUGAAAUCUCCGAGCUUAACUCGGAAAGGUCAACUGAUACUGUGCGGCUAGAGUGCGGAAGGGGCAACUGGAAUUCUUGGUGUAGCGGUGAAAUGCGUAGAUAUCGAAGAGGAACACCUGCGGCGAAGGCGGGUUGCUGGGCCGACACGUGACGCUGAGGCGCGAAAGCCAGGGGAGCGAACGGG
rnacentral:rRNA from 1 species